rnacentral:rRNA from 1 species
AUUGAACGCUGGCGGCAGGCCUAACACAUGCAAGUCGAGCGGAUGAAGGGAGCUUGCUCCUGGAUUCAGCGGCGGACGGGUGAGUAAUGCCUAGGAAUCUGCCUGGUAGUGGGGGAUAACGUCCGGAAACGGGCGCUAAUACCGCAUACGUCCUGAGGGAGAAAGUGGGGGAUCUUCGGACCUCACGCUAUCAGAUGAGCCUAGGUCGGAUUAGCUAGUUGGUGGGGUAAAGGCCUACCAAGGCGACGAUCCGUGACUGGUCUGAGAGGAUGAUCAGUCACACUGGAACUGAGACACGGUCCAGACUCCUACGGGAGGCAGCAGGGGGGAAUAUUGGACAAUGGGCGAAAGCCUGAUCCCGCCAUGCCGUGUGUGGGAAGAAGGUCUUCGGAUUGCAAAGCACUUUAAGUUGGGAGGAAGGGCAGUAAGUUAAUACCUUGGUGUUUUGACUUUACCAACAGAAAAAGCACCGGCUAACUUCGU